rnacentral:rRNA from 1 species
ACUCAAAGGAAUUGACGGGGGCCCGCACAAGCGGCGGAGCAUGUGGAUUAAUUCGAUGCAACGCGAAGAACCUUACCUGGGUUUGACAUACACCGGAAAGCCGUGGAGACAUGGCCUCCGCAAGGUCGGUGUACAGGUGGUGCAUGGCUGUCGUCAGCUCGUGUCGUGAGAUGUUGGGUUAAGUCCCGCAACGAGCGCAACCCUUGUCCUAUGUUGCCAGCGGGUUAUGCCGGGGACUCAUGGGAGACUGCCGGGGUCAACUCGGAGGAAGGUGGGGACGACGUCAAGUCAUCAUGCCCCUUAUGUCCAGGGCUUCACACAUGCUACAAUGGCCGGUACAGAGGGCUGCGAAACCGUAAGGUGAAGCGAAUCCCAUAAAGCCGGUCUCAGUUCGGAUCGGGGUCUGCAACUCGACCCCGUGAAGUCGGAGUCGCUAGUAAUCGCAGAUCAGCAAUGCUGCGGUGAAUACGUUCCCGGGCCUUGUACACACCGCCCGU